UGUUUUAUUUCUAACAUCCACAGAACAUGAAAUAGAUUGGUUUUGUGGACGACAUUAGAGAUUUCGAGGAUGGUUAUCAGUCAAUAGCUUUGUGACACCUCAGCAUAUUCUUUGAUAUUGUGGGUCCACCUCUUGGAUAAGAUAAUUUCCAGAUUUUUUUCUUGCAAAAAAAAAAUCUAUCAGAAUUAGUUUUUUUUAAAUAGUUUGCAUCUGAGAGUAUACUGUAUGUGAAUAUGUGACUAUCAUAGUGUCAUAAUAAAAUUGUAGGAAUUAUAUAAAUUUUAAUAUUCGUAUUUUUUUUAAUUAACAAUUAUCAUAAAGUUCAUUGUGACAGUUAACAACUUAACAUGUUGUCUUUUGGUCACAUGAUAUUGUCUAACACCAAUAACAAUAAUAAUUUCGUUAUUUUCUUGAUUUUAGUAGAAAACAAAUAAAAAAUAAAUAUAUGGAGAUUAUAAGUUGUUGAUGUACUCGAGCAAAUCUCUUUCCCUUGUAUAUUACUGAGAAGCUUGAAAGGAGAAAAAAGUUGAUGUAUGAUUAGGUUUCGUCAUGUGCACUUUUCUAUGUGACUCAUUGCCAUUUGCUUAUACGUGCUUACUUGUUCUCAUGUAACUGUGUUUAGGCUAGAGGAAAACGAAAAGCUUGUGUUGACUCCAUUCGAAAAGAACCUCGACAUCUGGAGACAGCUUUGGCGAGUGCUUGAACAUUGUUAUGGUAGUUGAUGCUAGAGAUCCACUGUUUUAACGUUGCCCUGAUCUUGAGGUAUUGCAACUUCAAACCCAUGUGACACCAUAUCCCUGAUCCAUAUCACUAACUUCAAGAUUCUUCCUAAACCCAAACCUUACGAGCGUCAGUUACGUCCCCCUCACGCUGCUGAGCUGCUGAGAGCUUACUGCGCUUCUCUCGGCUACCUCGCCUCUAGUGGACUGCCUGAUGAGACCAAAGCUGCGUGGGGGAUUUUGAAAGAUUACUUGGGAGGUAUAAGCUGCCGCAUUUCGCAAUGCCGCCGGGGAUGAUGAGUGAGGAGGAGAAGGGAGAGGUACACUAGUGCUGAAACAUGUCCAGAUGAUGAGGAUGAGGAGGAAAGCGAGGAGGUUCCUGGUAUUGAUGAUGUGCUGGAUGAUCUGAGCUCGUUUGAUGUGCGAAUGGGAUUGCGUCUUCGAAGGAAGUGGCGAUGAAGAAGGAGAAGGCGUCGCAUAAACAGCAUAAGAAGCCACAGAGGAAGAAGGAUAGGAACUGGAGAGUUAAGAACGCUGAGGAUGGUGAUGGGCCUCUUGUUAGAGUUUUUCAGAAACCUGCUGACACAGGGCCUCACAUUAUGCGGUGAUUAGUGACAACUGACAAGUAACCAAAGAUAUUAUGUUCUAAAGUUUAUGUGAUACAGAUGAGUUGGUGUAUUAUCAAUCUAAGAUACUUUUUUGUCAACAGAUACUUAAAAAGUUUUUAUUUUUUAUUUUUAAAGUUUUGUUAAUUCUAGUUAUUUAAGAGCUUUUAUACUG